rnacentral:tRNA from 1 species
AAGAAUAUAAUAUUAUAAGUAAUAAUUAAAAACUUAAAUUAAAAAUAAAAUAAAAAUAAAAUAUUUUAUAAAACUUAUAAUAAAUAGGUUUUUAAUAGAAUAUAAAAAAUUAUUAAAUAAUAAAUAAAAUUUAUAAUUAAUUAUAAUUAAUUAAAAUAAAAAAUAUUAAAAAAAUAAAGUAAAAUCUUUUUCUUAAUAAUUAUAAUUUAAAUUAUUAUUAUUA